ensembl:processed_transcript
CUCAUUACCUUUCUUUAUUAUUCACAGUACAUUUAUUACUAUUUUGGGUGCACACAAAAUCAGUUAUCUGUACUGUAUGUUUUGUUAAUUUAGUUUUCUUUUGAGUUUAAGUUACCGUGCUGCAGUGCCGACGAGGAACAGAGUUUCCGGGUGUGGUCCGCCCAACUAUAGGUCCGACGUGCCGCAAGAUGCCGUCUUUUGGUUCCACCUGCCAAUACCAUUGGCUUAAUGGC